UACGAAGGGGGCUAGCGUUGUUCGGAAUUACUGGGCGUAAAGCGUGCGCAGGCGGCUUCUCAAGUCAGGGGUGAAAGCCCAGAGCUCAACUCUGGAAUUGCCUUUGAGACUGAGUGGCUUGAGUACGAGAGAGGUGAGUGGAAUUCCCAGUGUAGAGGUGAAAUUCGUAGAUAUGACAUAGAACACCAAUUGCGAAGGCAGCUUACUACGGAUGUAUUGACACUGAGGCACGAAAGCGUGGGGAUCAAACAGG
rnacentral:rRNA from 1 species